GCCCGGUUAGCUCAGUCGGUAGAGCAUUCGGCUUUUAUCUCCCCUGACACGGGUGACGAGACCGAAAUGUCGGGGGUUCGAGCCCCCCAUUGGGCG
rnacentral:tRNA from 1 species